rnacentral:rRNA from 1 species
AUUGAACGCUGGCGGCAGGCCUAACACAUGCAAGUCGAACGAGUGGCGGACGGGUGAGUAAUGUCUGGGAAACUGCCUGAUGGAGGGGGAUAACUACUGGAAACGGUAGCUAAUACCGCAUACCAUCGGAUGUGCCCAUAUGGGAGUAGCUAGUAGGUUGGGUAAAGGCUGACCUAGGCGACGAUCCCUAGCUGGUCUGAGAGGAUGACCAGCGACACUGGAACUGAUACACGGUCCAGAACCCUACGGGAGGCAGCAGUGGGGAAUAUUGCACAAUGGGCGCAAGCCUGAUGCAGCCAUGCCGCGUGUAUGAAGAAGUCCUUCGGGUUGUAAAGUACUUUCAGCUGGGAGGCGUUACCCGCAGAAGAAGCACCGGCUAACGCCGUGCCAGCAGCCGCGGUAAUAC